ensembl:miRNA
GGUCCUGGUCCUGGUCCUGGUCGUGGUCCUAGUCCUGGUUCUGGUCCUGGUUCUGGUCCUGGUCCUGGUCCUGGUC